rnacentral:rRNA from 1 species
UACGUAGGGCGCAAGCGUUGUCCGGAAUUAUUGGGCGUAAAGAGCUCGUAGGCGGUUUGUCGCGUCUGCUGUGAAAACCCGAGGCUCAACCUCGGGCCUGCAGUGGGUACGGGCAGACUAGAGUGCGGUAGGGGAGAUUGGAAUUCCUGGUGUAGCGGUGGAAUGCGCAGAUAUCAGGAGGAACACCAAUGGCGAAGGCAGAUCUCUGGGCCGUAACUGACGCUGAGGUGCGAAAGCGUGGGGAGCAAACAGG